GCACUCCGGGGGGCAUGCCUGUUCGAGCGUCAUUG
rnacentral:rRNA from 1 species